AUGUUACUCCCUCCGUCCCAAAAUCUUGUCUUAGAUUUGUCUAAAUACGGAUAUAUCUAGUUACGUUUUAGUGUUAGAUACAUCCAUAUCUAGAUAAAUUUAAGAUAGGAAUUUUGUGACGGAGGGAGUACAAA
rfam:Triticum aestivum genome assembly, contig: Triticum_aestivum_CS42_TGACv1_scaffold_528486_6DL